rnacentral:rRNA from 1 species
GUAAUGGCUCACCAAGGCAACGAUCCCUAGCUGGUCUGAGAGGAUGACCAGCCACACUGGAACUGAGACACGGUCCAGACUCCUACGGGAGGCAGCAGUGGGGAAUAUUGCACAAUGGGGGAAACCCUGAUGCAGCCAUGCCGCGUGUAUGAAGAAGGCCUUCGGGUUGUAAAGUACUUUCAGUAGGGAGGAAGGCAGUGUCGUUAAUAGCGGCAUGUUGACGUACCUACAGAAGAAGCACCGGCUAACUCCGUGCCAGCAGCCGCGGUAAUACGGAGGGUGCGAGCGUUAAUCGGAAUUACUGGGCGUAAAGCGCAUGCAGGCGGUCUGUUAAGCAAGAUGUGAAAGCCCGGGGCUCAACCUCGGAACAGCAUUUUGAACUGGCAGACUAGAGUCUUGUAGAGGGGGGUAGAAUUUCAGGUGUAGCGGUGAAAUGCGUAGAGAUCUGAAGGAAUACCGGUGGCGAAGGCGGCCCCCUGGACAAAGACUGACGCUCAGAUGCGAAAGCGUGGGGAGCAAACAGGAUUAGAUACCCUGGUAGUCCACGCCGUAAACGAUGUGCGUACUUGGAGGUUGUGCGCCUUGAGGCCGUGGCUUUCGGAGCUAACGCGUUAAGUAGACCGCCUGGGGAGUACGGUCGCAAGAUUAAAACUCAAAUGAAUUGACGGGGGCCCGCACAAGCGGUGGAGCAUGUGGUUUAAUUCGAUGCAACGCGAAGAACCUUACCUACUCUUGACAUCCAGAGAACUUACGCAGAGAU